AGCAGCCGCGGUAAUUCCAGCUCCAAUAGCGUAUAUUAAAGUUGUUGCAGUUAAAAAGCUCGUAGUUGAAUUUCGGGAUUAGUACGUUGGUUGUGCCUUCGGUACGUACUGGUGUUACUGAUUCCUACCUUCUGACGAACCAUCAUGUCAUUUAUUUGGUGUGGCGGGGAAUCAGGACUGUUACUUUGAAAAAAUUAGAGUGUUUAAAGCAGGCUCGCGCUUGAAUACAUUAGCAUGGAAUAAUGAAAUAGGACGUUGACCCUAUUUUGUUGGUUUCUAGGAUUGACGUAAUGAUUAAUAGGGAUAGUUGGGGGCAUUAGUAUUCAAUUGGUCAGAGGUGAAAUUCUUGGAUUUAUUGAAGACUAACUACUGCGAAAGCAUUUGCCAAGGAUGUUUUCAUUAAUCAAGAACGAAAGUUAGGGGAUCGAAGACGAUCAGAUACCGUCGUAGUCUUAACCAUAAACUAUGCCGACUAGGGAUCGGANGAUGUUAUUUUUAAUGACUCAUUCGGCGCCUUACG
rnacentral:rRNA from 1 species